rnacentral:rRNA from 1 species
UACGUAGGGUGCAGGCGUUAGUCGGAAUUACUGGGCGUAAAGCGUGCGCAGGCGGUUUGCUAAGAGAGAUGUGAAAUCCCCGGGCUUAACCUGGGAACUGCGUUUCUAACUGGCAGGCUUGAGUGUGGCAGAGGGGGGUGGAAUUCCACGUGUAGCAGUGAAAUGCGUAGAGAUGUGGAGGAACACCGAUGGCGAAGGCAGCCCCCUGGGCUAACACUGACGCUCAUGCACGAAAGCGUGGGGAGCAAACAGG